UACCUGCAGCCCAAGUGGUGGUCGAUUUUAUUGAGUCUAAAACGUUCGUAGCCGGUUCGGUAAAUCUUUGGGUAAAUCGGGGGGCUUAACCUUCCGACUUCCGAGGAGACUGCCGAACUUGGGACCGGGAGAGGCUAGAGGUACUUCUGGGGUAGGGGUAAAAUCCUGUAAUCCUAGAAGGACCACCGGUGGCGAAGGCGUCUAGCUAGAACGGAUCCGACGGUGAGGGACGAAGCCCUGGGUCGCAAACGGG
rnacentral:rRNA from 1 species